rnacentral:rRNA from 1 species
AAAUCACAAUGCGGGACUGUUAGUCUUGCAAUUGGAUUGAGAACAACGUACAACUCUUAUCGAUAAGCCAUUGGAGGGCAAGUCUGGUGCCAGCAGCCGCGGUAAUUCCAGCUCCAAUAGCGUAUAUUAACGUUGUUGCAGUUAAAAAGCUCGUAGUUGAAGUGAGGGAGUGUGUGUUCAUGAGAGCUAGUCUCGAGUGUUCACAACCUCCCCCCUCCAAUCGGUGUAGUGGGGUAUUCAGUUAUUUCACUACUCCUUUGGUCGUUUACUGUGAGAAAAUUAGAGUGUUCAAAGCGGGCGUUUGUUUGAAUAGAUUAGCAUGGAAUAAUGAUUGAAGGCUUUCGUGUUCGAUUUGAUUGGUUUGUUCAUGGAAGCAAGGUUAAAAGGAACAGUUGGGGGUAUUCAUAUUCACUAGUUAGAGGUGAAAUUCUCGGAUUUAUGGAAGAUGAACAAGUGCGAAAGCAA